AUUGGUGUAUUAUCAGGUGCCAAAAUUUCUUCCAAUCAGUUUGAUGACUCUCUGUCUUUGUUGCCGAGAAGGAUGAUACCAGAGAAUUAAAGGUUCCUUUGUCUUUGUCAUCGUGACCAAAGUUGCAUGCAACAAAAAAACCUGAAGAUGAUGCUCUACAUGAAUGAAUAUUUUCUCGUGUUUGGAAAACACAGGAUGAACUGAUACAUAUGAGAAAUUAGGAAGAAGUUUUUCUGGGUUUUCUUCCCAACCAAAUGGAACUGAGGCAAUUAGCUUAAGAGGAGUUUGAGGGGAGUGGACACUUAAGAAACCUCUAAAAAAUUAGACAUUGUUUCUUUUUUAGUAAUAUAAUGAACAUCUUAGUCAUAUUUUUUAUAUUUUAAUUUAGUAUUGAAUAUUUUUCUUUUUAAUAUAUCAACAAUUACUUGUAUGAACAUGUUAA